ACUUGAUCCCCUGGAAAUGUCCUACUUCCUGCUCCUCCCCAGGCCCUGCCUAGUGGGACCACGUCAUUCUCUAUUCUCAUGGACCUCUAUACCCCUCCUCUCUGAGUUCAGGUAUUCUGGUACCUGCCCACAGCAGGGAGAACAACAGACCACAUGUCCAGUCCUUGCCCAGCCCAGAUUAUGCUAUAAAGACGUUUUUUGAAAGAGAAAGAAAGAGGUGACAUUCUGUGGAGGGAUCUUAAGGGACCAGGCCUAAUCACAUCAGGGACUCGAGGCCUCCCUUCCAGGCUUGGCAGGCAGAGUAUCUCAAGAUGAAGAGAAAGACAUUUUCCCUUGCAUGCUGGCUGCUGUUUCAUCUUCUACUACUCUUAGGAAACGCUGUAACUUCUAAUGCUAACACUACAGCCACCACCCUUGGACAAACCACAUCACCCAGGGGAACUAACACAACAGCUAUAACCUCCAGUGGGAACAUCACGACCACCUCCCUCGGACCAACCACACCGUCCAGGGGAACUAACACAACAGCUGUAACCUCCAGUGGGAACAUCACGACCACCUCCCUCGGACCAACCACACCGUCCAGGGAAACUAACACAACGGCUAUAACCUCCAGUGACACCAGCACAAGUACUGCCCCUCCAAGGAAAGAGGAGAACCUUAGCGGACAACUGACACCAUGGGAAGUUGUUCUGGUCACUCUGGCCUCGGUUGCAAUGGCUGUGAUUCUCGUCACCGGGCUUCUCUUCCAUUUCAGAAACUCUCCAGGCCUCAGAAACCUCUUCGAUGUUAAUCUCUUACCAACUGCAUGGCCAAGCCCCUACGGGACCAGGGCAACUGCAACUGACUUCAGAGGAGACCCUUCUCCCGUAGUCAUGGAGCUGACUGGGAGGCGGGAAUAGCACUGAGCUCCCUGAAGGCAGACGCAUCACCAAUGUGUGGGGGUGGGGGGCUGACCUGGGGGAGCCUGAGUAUUCCUCCUGUCCGAAGGACUGUCCCUCCCAGCUCCAUUUCAGCCUCUGACUGUCCUCCUUCCCACUUGGUUUUUCCAGACCAAAACAAGGAGGCUGUAGCUGUGAACGAAUUAUUAAAUAAACAAUUCUGAUAUACGUGGAACCAGACUCUCUAGGUGUAUUUAUGUAUUAUGGUGAACAGAGGUUCUUUAUACCCUAAAGACCCCUCUUCUCUUUGUUCUCCCAGCUCUCAAAUCCCCAGAGUGAAACCCAGACUUUAUAUGUGUCUCAUUUUCUUCCCCAUUCUGUCCUCAUUCCCCGGAGGCCUCUGGGCUGAUGAAUCAGGGAAUGGAAUCAGGGAAGAUGGAGAAGGCGAGUGCUACACAUCACAGGCUUGUGUUGUAUAAGGGGAAAAAAGUCUCUGAGCCAGUCUGCAGCACAAGGGGGCCGGGGAGCAACCGCGCAGGUUGUGAAGUAGAGAAGGUCUUGCUCAUGGGGCUUGGCCACCUUCCCUGUGUCCCUGGCUACUCAGGUCUGCUCUGGGCUCGGGCUCUUUACUAUUACUGGGAAGACAGGUGUGAGUCACCACCUUUCUCGCCUGUGGGCUCCCAGCCCCAGGAACGGUCCUGGGCAGGGAGAACAUGCUCCCAGUUUCUACAAGGGCGGGCCCAGCCUGUGCUGCCAGAAGCCAGGUUCUCAGCAGUCCCUGCAAAACCAGGUCUCAGAACAGGGACAUAAACCCAUGUGUCAGGGCUGUGCUCUUGCUGAAAGCCACGGCCUUGUCAAGGGUUUUGGUGCAACUUGCUCAUACACGCACUCACUGACCCUUCCUUGUGAAUGAAUCACAAUGAAUCACACACCCUUGUUUCAUCAGCUCAGCCCUUGUCAUGGUUCUCAUAGCUGGACCUUUGCCAGAGCCUUCUUAAUAGGACCAAGGCUGUUUAUAUACAUUUUGCAAUAUUAUUAACAAAACAGUUUUAAACAGCUGUAUAGAAACCAAAUGCAAAGAACCUACUGUAUGAUUCCAUUGUAUGAAAUUCAAGAACAGAACUAAUCUGGGAGUUCCCGUCAUGGCUGAGCAGUAAUGAACCCAACUAGUACCCAUGAGGAUUUGGGUUUGAUCCCUGGCCUCUCUCGGUGGGUUAAGGAUCCAGUGUUGCCAUGAGCUGUGUGGUGUAGGUCGCAGACACAGCUCAGAUCCCACAUUGCUGUGGCUGUGGCUGUGGCGUAGGCCAGCAGCUGCCAGCCUGGGGACUUCAAUAUGCCAUGGGUGCGGUCCUAAAAAAAAAAAAAAAAAAAAAAAAAAGAAAAAAAAAUGAAAAAAAAAAAAAGAAAAGAAGAGAACUAAUCUACAGUGACAGAGCAGAUCACUGAUUUCCCACAGGUGAGAAUUUUUAGAAGGGGGAACUUUCUGGAUGAUAAAAUGUUUUAUAUCUUGGCUGGGCUAUUGGUUACACAAGUAAAUACAUAUAUCAAAACUCAUCUAAUGGAAUAAUUAAAAUCUGUGCAUUUCACUGUUUGUAAGUUUAUUCCAGGGAAAAAAUUUAGUUAUAUAUAAUAGAGUUUUUAAAGCCAUAAAUAGUCUCAACAGCAAAAAAGCCAACAACCCAACUGAAAAAUGGGCAAAGGACCUGAAUAGACAUUUCUCCAAGGCCAACAAGCACUUGAAACAAUGCUCAACAUCACUGAUUAUUAGAGAAAUGCAAAUCGAAACUACCAUGAGAUACCACCUCACACCAGUUAGAAUGGCCAUCUUUAAUAAGUCCACAAAUAACAAAUGCUGGAGGUGGUGUGGAGAAAAGGGAACCCUCCUACACUGUUGGUGGGAAUGUAAGCUGGUACAACCACUAUGGAGAAACGUAUGGAGGUAUCUUAGAAAACUAUACAUAGAACUACCACAUAACCCGGCAAUCUCACUCUUGGGCAUAUAUCCGGACAAAAUUCUACUUAAAAAAGAAACAUGCACCCGCAUGUUCACUGCAGCACUAUUCACAACCGUCAGGAUGUGGAAUCAACCCAAAUGUCCACUGAUAGAUGAUUGGAUCAGGAAGAUGUGGUAUAUAUACACAAUGGAAUACUACUUAUCCAUAAAAAAGAACAAAAUAAUGCCAUUUGCAGCAACAUGGAUGGAACUAGACUCUCAUCCUGAGUGAAGUAAGUCAGAAAGAGAAAGACAAAUACCAUAUGAUAUCAUUAUAUCUGGAAUCUAAUAUAUGGCACAAAGGAAACUUGCCACAGAAAAGAAGAUCAUGGACUUGCAGAAUAGACUUGUGGUUGCCAAGGGGGAGCGGGAGGGAGUGGGAGGGACUGGGAGCUUGGGGUAAAUAGACGCAGAAUGUUGCCUUCAGGAUGGGUUAGCAAUGGGAUCCUGCUGUGUAGCACUGGGAACUCUGUCUAGUCAAUUAUGAUGGAACAUGCAAUGUGAGAAAAUAAAUAAAUAAGAUCAUACAUAUUAAAAAAUAUAAAGCUAUAAAUAGUUCUAUUAUUGUUUUUUUUUUUUUUUUUUUGCUUUUUAGGGCCGCACUUGCGACAUAUGAGGUUCCCAGACUAGGGGUUGAAUCAGAGCUACAGCUGCUGGCCUACACCAUAGCCACAGCAAUGCCAGAUUGGAGCUGCAUCUGCAACCUACACCACAGCUCAUGGCAACACCAGAUCCCUAACCCACUGAUUGAGGCCAGGGAUUGAGCCCCCAUGCUCAUGGAUACUAGUCGGGUUCAUUACCUCUGAGCCACAGUGGGAACUCCCUAGCUUUAUUCUUGAAGGCAGUAACUAGUCUAUCGGUUAUCUCCCCUUCAGCUUUUAAUAGUCCCAAUCCUUUACUUAAAAUAAUGGAGUUCCCAUCAUCCUGUCAAGCA
rnacentral:lncRNA from 1 species